rnacentral:tRNA from 1 species
AGGUUUAAAGUUAAGUUAUAAUGUUUAGUUUGCGUCUAGACGAGGCUGUUAUUAGGCUAAGCCUA